UUAUAAAACAUCUGAUUGUCAUUACACAUCAUGUUUCGGUGACGGUUAUUAGAGCUUAUGAAAAUUUCGAUCUCGGGCCCGUUUUCACGUCGGUUAAAAUUCGAGUUGUGAACGGUUUCAAGAUGUCAAGCUCAGACGGGUUCGAGACGGAAGAGGAAUGCGUCGAGGUGGAAAAACGAACACCGACUUCCUUCGACUACUUUAUACUUUUUCGUCCGAGCACUUACGACUUGAUACGUCCUUUCGUUAAGACGUUCGUCACGUUCGCCGUGGCCUUUUACGCCAUAGUCUUCAUUUUGACCAGCACCAUACAGCCUGACUAGAAAACCUUGGGGGAGCCUUUCCGAUAGUUGUGGAGAUCUUGACGAGAUGGAACUACGAGAUGAAAGCCACGGUGGAAAAAUUUUUCUGCAGACUUCAAGAUUGGACUUCAGCCUGACUUUCGCGUAGACCGUAAUUGGUCACUUAAAAGGUAUGAGGUUCUCCGUUUGGAAAGGCAAAAACCCAAGAAAAUUUAAGGCCCCCAUGACUCACAAAGGAAAGACAACGAAUCAUGAAAAAUAAAUAAUAAAAAUCGAUAAAUAAGUGAA